CCUACGGGAGGCAGCAGUGGGGAAUCUUGCGCAAUGGGCGAAAGCCUGACGCAGCCAUGCCGCGUGAAUGAUGAAGGUCUUAGGAUUGUAAAAUUCUUUCACCGGGGACGAUAAUGACGGUACCCGGAGAAGAAGCCCCGGCUAACUUCGUGCCAGCAGCCGCGGUAAUACGAAGGGGGCUAGCGUUGCUCGGAAUUACUGGGCGUAAAGGGCGCGUAGGCGGAUCGUUAAGUCAGAGGUGAAAUCCCAGGGCUCAACCCUGGAACUGCCUUUGAUACUGGCGAUCUUGAGUAUGAGAGAGGUAUGUGGAACUCCGAGUGUAGAGGUGAAAUUCGUAGAUAUUCGGAAGAACACCAAUCCCGCGGCCAUGGCGGCCCGGGAGCAUGCGACGUCGGC
rnacentral:rRNA from 1 species